AACGAACGCUGGCGGCAUGCCUAACACAUGCAAGUCGAACGAGAUCUUCGGGUCUAGUGGCGCACGGGUGCGUAACGCGUGGGAAUCUGCCCUUUGGUUCGGAAUAACAGUUGGGAACGACUGCUAAUACCGGAUGAUGACGAAAGUCCAAAGAUUUAUCGCCAGAGGAUGAGCCCGCGUAGGAUUAGCUAGUUGGUGUGGUAAAGGCGCACCAAGGCGACGAUCCUUAGCUGGUCUGAGAGGAUGAUCAGCCACACUGGGACUGAGACACGGCCCAGACUCCUACGGGAGGCAGCAGCGGGGAAUAUUGGACAAUGGGCGAAAGCCUGAUCCAGCAAUGCCGCGUGAGUGAUGAAGGCCUUAGGGUUGUAAAGCUCUUUUACCCGGGAUGAUAAUGACAGUGCCGGGAGAAUAAGCUCCGGCUAACUCCGUGCCAGCAGCCGCCGUAA
rnacentral:rRNA from 1 species